GGCGGAUGUAGCCAAGUGGAUCAAGGCAGGGGAUGUGAAUCCACCUUGCGC
rnacentral:tRNA from 1 species